rnacentral:rRNA from 1 species
UACGUAGGGGGCAAGCGUUGUCCGGAUUUAUUGGGCGUAAAGAGCUCGUAGGUGGUUUGGUAAGUCGGAUGUGAAAUCUCCACGCUCAACGUGGAGGGGCCACCUGAUACUGCCAUGACUUGAGUCCGGUAGGGGAGUGUGGAAUUCACGGUGUAGCAGUGAAAUGCGUAGAUAUCGUGAGGAAGACCGGUGGCGAAGGCGGAUCUCUGGACAGUUCCUGACGCUGAGGCGCGAAGGCCAGGGGAGCAAACGGG